GCAUUCACUUUGGCAGCACAUAUACCAAAACUGGAAUGAUACAGGGUAGAUUAGCAUAGCCCCUGUGAAAGGAUGAUGUGCAAAUUCAUGAAGUAUUCCCUAUUAUU
rnacentral:snRNA from 1 species